AGCGAACGCUGGCGGCAGGCCUAACACAUGCAAGUCGAACGGCUCUUCGGAGCAGUGGCGGACGGGUGAGUAACGCGUGGGAACGUGCCCUUUGGUUCGGAACAACACAGGGAAACUUGUGCUAAUACCGGAUGUGCCCUUCGGGGGAAAGAUUUAUCGCCAUUGGAGCGGCCCGCGUUGGAUUAGGUAGUUGGUGGGGUAAAGGCCCACCAAGCCUACGAUCCAUAGCUGGUCUGAGAGGAUGAUCAGCCACACUGGGACUGAGACACGGCCCAGACUCCUACGGGAGGCAGCAGUGGGGAAUCUUGCGCAAUGGGCGAAAGCCUGACGCAGCCAUGCCGCGUGUAUGAUGAAGGUCUUAGGAUUGUAAAAUACUUUCACCGGGGAAGAUAAUGACGGUACCCGGAGAAGAAGCCCCGGCUAACUUCGUGCCAGCAGCCGCCGUAAUAC
rnacentral:rRNA from 1 species